UUUUAAUUUUUUCUAAGUGAUUUGGUAUUUGCUCCUUGUAUUGUGUGACUUAGUGAGAAUGAGAAAGAAACGUGUGAGGAUCAAAAAGAACUCGUACCUAGGUUUCCAUUUAUCAUUGUGCAGUAGAUUUUGUGGGACCCAUGUUCAAUGUUAGAUAUAUCUAACCUGUCGGGACCGUUUGAGUAUCCCUUUUAAUGUAACAAGUAUGGUGCCAAAUUGAAACAGAAGAAAUUGCAUUAAUGAUCGUCGAGUGAUCACAGGAAGUUUUUGCAUCAUUAGGCUAUCAGACAAAACGUAAAUAGGACGACUUAGUAUUAAACGGCUAACUCGUUCAGUUAGUGGAAAUACAUUAACUAAAUCUUUUUGUAACACUUAAGACUAUAUAAGUUGCCAAAAUAACGUCUACUUAAGUUUAACUGG
rnacentral:lncRNA from 1 species